rnacentral:rRNA from 1 species
AAAUCGUACCCCAAACCGACACAGGUGGUCAGGUAGAGAAUACCAAGGCGCUUGAGAGAACUCGGGUGAAGGAACUAGGCAAAAUGGUGCCGUAACUUCGGGAGAAGGCACGCUGACACGUAGGUGAAGUGAUUUACUCAUGGAGCUGAAGUCAGUCGAAGAUACCAGCUGGCUGCAACUGUUUAUUAAAAACACAGCACUGUGCAAACACGAAAGUGGACGUAUACGGUGUGACGCCUGCCCGGUGCCGGAAGGUUAAUUGAUGGGGUCAGCGUAAGCGAAGCUCCUGAUCGAAGCCCCGGUAAACGGCGGCCGUAACUAUAACGGUCCUAAGGUAGCGAAAUUCCUUGUCGGGUAAGUUCCGACCUGCACGAAUGGCGUAAUGAUGGCCAGGCUGUCUCCACCCGAGACUCAGUGAAAUUGAACUCGCUGUGAAGAUGCAGUGUACCCGCGGCAAGACGGAAAGACCCCGUGAACCUUUACUAUAGCUUGACACUGAACAUUGAGCCUUGAUGUGUAGGAUAGGUGGGAGGCUUUGAAGUGUGGACGCCAGUCUGCAUGGAGCCGACCUUGAAAUACCACCCUUUAAUGUUUGAUGUUCUAACGUGGACCCGUAAUCCGGGUUGCGGACAGUGUCUGGUGGGUAGUUUGACUGGGGCGGUCUCCUCCUAAAGAGUAACGGAGGAGCACGAAGGUUGGCUAAUCCUGGUCGGACAUCAGGAGGUUAGUGCAAUGGCAUAAGCCAGCUUGACUGCGAGCGUGACGGCGCGAGCAGGUGCGAAAGCAGGUCAUAGUGAUCCGGUGGUUCUGAAUGGAAGGGCCAUCGCUCAACGGAUAAAAGGUACUCCGGGGAUAACAGGCUGAUACCGCCCAAGAGUUCAUAUCGACGGCGGUGUUUGGCACCUCGAUGUCGGCUCAUCACAUCCUGGGGCUGAAGUAGGUCCCAAGGGUAUGGCUGUUCGCCAUUUAAAGUGGUACGCGAGCUGGGUUUAGAACGUCGUGAGACAGUUCGGUCCCUAUCUGCCGUGGGCGCUGGAGAACUGAGGGGGGCUGCUCCUAGUACGAGAGGACCGGAGUGGACGCAUCACUGGUGUUCGGGUUGUCAUGCCAAUGGCACUGCCCGGUAGCUAAAUGCGGAAGAGAUAAGUGCUGAAAGCAUCUAAGCACGAAACUUGCCCCGAGAUGAGUUCUCCCUGAGACUUAGAGUCUCCUGAAGGAACGUUGAAGACGACGACGUUGAUAGGCCGGGUGUGUAAGCGCAGCGAUGCGUUGAGCUAACCGGUACUAAUGAACCGUGAGGCUUAACCUU